ensembl:lncRNA
CACACACACACAAAGACACAAAGACACUCCCGGUGCCUAUAUAAGCAUUAUUUAGAUACUAAAAACUAAAUUUAUACUUUGUUUUGCACUUUACCCAUUUAUUCAUCUAUUUAAAUGGGCCUUUUCAGUGUAGUGGAACCACUUGUGUCUUUACAUACACACACACACACACACACACACACACACACACUUAAACGGUGUUGCAGAAUCACCAGACAUGUGCCUUUACCCUUCUCACUCACAAACACACAAACACACACACAUACACACACACUCACACACACACAUACACACUAAAACCAAAUGGAUCUUGGAGCAGAACACUACGUUGUUGAGGCUACGAGAUGUGACGAGUGUGCAGGAAAACGCUAGAAGCUCCAAAAGACAAGACUAGACUAGACACAUGUACAAUACACACACACACACAUACACACACACACGCACACACACACACACACACAUACACACACAUUCAUACACACCAAUGUGGAGAUCAUCUGCUGCUCAAGGUGAAGUUGCAGGUACAUGUCUAAGGGACGAGGGUGGGUGUGUGUGUGUGUGAGAGAGUGAGAGAGUGAGAGAGUGAGAGACACAUGCACAGAUAUAAAUAAUUCAAAGAAACUCCAGCCUAGAUCUAAGACUGUUUGAAUGAAAUCAAAUGACUUGUCUAACUCUAGAGUUUGUCUUAACCUUAUCCCUAGAUAAACAAACUACUGCCCAUCUUCUUCUGUGUGCCUUACAGGUGUGUGUGUGUGUGUGUGUGUGUGUGUGUUUACUAAGUGCCUGAAAGGUGAAUGUGUGUGUGUGUGUUGUGUGUGUGUCCUAAGUGCCUGACAGGGAAGUGAGAAGCGGAACCAGCCUCAUGAAAUCCCCCACAACUCUAUCACCUCAUGAGGGUGUGUGUGCGUGUAUCUGUUGAUUGCUCUUCACACACAAGCCAUUUGUGGACACACAUCACAGAGAAACAGAGUGUGUGUUUUUCUUUUCUGUGUUAAAACAUGUUUUAGUAAGAUCUGUUUUAAUCUGCUCAUGUUGUAAGUGUGUGUUUGUGAUAUCCUUUGCAGGAGCAUCCGAUGGUAGUGCAUGUUGUGACGGUUGUUUUGUAAGUGUGUGUGUGCGUGCAUGUGUGAGUGUGUGCGUGCGUGCGUGCCAAUGUAAGCUUGUGCUUCUCUAUCCUGUUUUUUAUGAAGUGUUCCUUUCGCACCAUAAAGCCAAAGAGCUCAUUGGAUUAAAGGAUUUCCUCUCCACUCUGAGCUGUCUGAUUUACUGUUAUCUUCUGCUGCAGCACCAUCUCUAGAAACAUUAUCUACUGCUCCAGCACCAUCUUUAAAAACAUUAGAAACAUCAUCUACUGCUCCAGCACCAAUCUCUAGAAACAUUAUCUACUGCUGCAGCACCAUCUCUAGUAACAUUA